UACGGAGGGUGCAAGCGUUAUCCGGAUUCACUGGGUUUAAAGGGAGCGUAGGUGGGUCUGUAAGUCAGUGGUGAAAUCUCCGGGCUUAACCUGGAAGCUGCCAUUGAUACUAUAGGUCUUGAAUAUUGUGGAGGUUAGCGGAAUAUGUCAUGUAGCGGUGAAAUGCUUAGAUAUGACAUAGAACACCAAUUGCGAAGGCAGCUGGCUACGCAUAUAUUGACACUGAGGCUCGAAAGCGUGGGGAUCAAACAGG
rnacentral:rRNA from 1 species